rnacentral:lncRNA from 1 species
UGGGGGUGCUAACAGCCUCUGUUACAGCUCACGCCCUGCACUCUUCCUGUGGUUUAGUACAUCCUGCUCACACCUUUGUAAAUAGCUCCUUUAUUGAGACUUCCUCAGAUUAUCCUAAUUUGGGUGGGUCACUUGUUUACCUGCUGGGUCCUGACCAACAUAAACCUUACCUGACAGCUCAGUAAAGCAACUGCUCACAUCUCCAGCAGAGUUCAGGGGGAGAUUGGUCUGGUGAAGACAGGUGAGCUGGCCCUCAGGAAGAGGACAGCACGUCGCCUGAUUGCUGGCUGGGGUUCUGGUCAAGAUGGGGCUUCACCCUGUGAACCAUUAGACAGGGAAAUGCCAACCAGCAGACAACUUCCCAAAUAAGAAGCCAUGUUCCUGAACUUGCCCUCACAGGGCAGUGAGACCCAGUUGUCUCCUGCAGGAUCUGCAUUCGAGGCCUCUACCAGCCUGACACACUUGGCCUUGGGCAGAAGGCUGGAAAGCCAUCCAGCACGAGCUCCACCUGCACUCAUGCUGGGAAGCCAUGAGGCAGCCUGGGUGUGCUCAGCACAGCAACUGGCCAGCGAGGAGCACCCUCUGCCUGUCCUGGGCUUGUCUGGCCCCUAACAUCUCAUGAUUGUGUCCUCAGAAGGACAACCUUUACAUCUUUCUCUCCCUUGAUACACCCCCACCCCCAAACCCCAGCACCUCUCAUUUUCUCUUCUUUCUUUCCCAGGCCAUGAAACUGGUAUUACUUUCCCAAUAAAAAAUUUAGUCAGUCUGG